UCGAUUUUGGAGGGCAAGUCUGGUGCCAGCAGCCGCGGUAAUUCCAGCUCCAAUAGCGUAUAUUAAAGUUGUUGCAGUUAAAAAGCUCGUAGUUGAAUUUCGGGGUUAGUAGGUUGGUCAUGCCUCUGGUAUGUACUGGUCUCACUGAUUCCUCCUUCCUUAUGAACCGUAAUGCCAUUAAUUUGGUGUUGCGGGGAAUUUGGACUGUUACUUUGAAAAAAUUAGAGUGUUUAAAGCAAGCUAACGCUUGAAUACAUUAGCAUGGAAUAAUGAAAUAGGACGUUCGAUCUUAUUUUGUUGGUUUCUAGGAUUGACGUAAUGAUUAAUAGGGAUAGUUGGGGGCAUUAGUAUCCAAUUGUCAGAGGUGAAAUUCUUGGAUUUAUUGAAGACUAACUACUGCGAAAGCAUUUGCCAAGGAUGCUUUCAUUAAUCAAGAACGAAAGUUAGGGGAUCGAAGACGAUCAGAUACCGUCGUAGUCUUAACCAUAAACUAUGCCGACUAGGGAUCGGAUGAUGUUAAUUUUUUAAUGACUCAUUCGGCGCCUUACGGGAAACA
rnacentral:rRNA from 1 species